rnacentral:rRNA from 1 species
AGUGAACGCUGGCGGUAGGCCUAACACGUGCAAGUCGAACGGCAGCACAGGAGAGCUUGCUCUCUGGGUGGCGAGUGGCGGACGGGUGAGGAAUACAUCGGAAUCUACUCUGUCGUGGGGGAUAACGUAGGGAAACUUACGCUAAUACCGCAUACGACCUACGGGUGAAAGCAGGGGACCUUCGGGCCUUGCGCGAUUGAAUGAGCCGAUGUCGGAUUAGCUAGUUGGCGGGGUAAAGGCCCACCAAGGCGACGAUCCGUAGCUGGUCUGAGAGGAUGAUCAGCCACACUGGAACUGAGACACGGUCCAGACUCCUACGGGAGGCAGCAGUGGGGAAUAUUGGACAAUGGGCGCAAGCCUGAUCCAGCCAUACCGCGUGGGUGAAGGAGGCCUUCGGGUUGUAAAGCCCUUUUGUUGGGAAAGAAAUCCAGCUGGCUAAUACCCGGUUGGGAUGACGGUACCCAAAGAAUAAGCACCGGCUAACUUCGUGCCAGCCGCCGCAGUAA